UACGUAGGGGGCGAGCGUUGUCCGGAUUCAUUGGGCGUAAAGCGCGCGUAGGCGGCUUCGUAAGUCGGCCGUGAAAUCUCCAGGCUCAACUUGGAGGGGUCGGGCGAGACUGCGGAGCUCGAGGUGGGCAGAGGGCAGUGGAAUUCCGGGUGUAGUGGUGGAAUGCGUAGAGAUCCGGAGGAACACCAGUGGCGAAGGCGGCUGCCUGGGCCUGGCCUGACGCUGAGGCGCGAAAGCGUGGGGAGCGAUCCGG
rnacentral:rRNA from 1 species